AACUGGGAUUAGAUACCCCACUAUGCCUAGCCGUAAACAUUGAUAGUGCAUUACAUCUGCUAUCCGCCCGGGUACUACGAGCAUCAGCUUAAAACCCAAAGGACUUGGCGGUGCUUUAGAUCCACCUAGAGGAGCCUGUUCUAGAACCGAUAAUCCCCGUUAAACCUCACCUUUCCUUGUUUUCCCAGCCUAUAUACCGCCGUCGUCAGCUUACCCUGCGAAGGACCAACAGUAAGCAAAAUUGGCACAGCCCAGAACGCCAGGUCGAGGUGUAGCCUAUGGAAAGGGAAGAAAUGGGCUACAUUCAAUAUUACAAUGAAUACGGAUGGGGGGUUGAAACACCCCCCUGAAGGAGGAUUUAGCAGUAAGCAGGAAAUAGAGAGUCCCGCUGAAAUUGGCCCUGAAGCGCGUACACACCGCCCGUCACUCUCCC
rnacentral:rRNA from 1 species